UACAGAGGGUGCGAGCGUUAAUCGGAAUUACUGGGCGUAAAGCGUGCGUAGACGGCUAUCUAAGUCGGGUGUGAAAGCCCCGGGCUCAACCUGGGAAUUGCAUUCGAGACUGAAUAGCUAGGGUGCGGUAGAGGGAAGCGGAAUUCCCGGUGUAGCGGUGAAAUGCGUAGAUAUCGGAAGGAACACCAGUGGCGAAAGCGGCUUCCUGGUCCAGCACCGACGUUCAGGCACGAAAGCGUGGGGAGC
rnacentral:rRNA from 1 species